GACGAACGCUGGCGGCGUGCCUAAUACAUGCAAGUCGAACGCAGUGGGGACGGGUGAGUAACACGUGGGUAACCUCCCAUCAGAGGGGAUAACACUUGGAAACAGGUGCUAAACCGAUACUGAUGGAUGGACCCGCGGUGCAUUAGCUAGUUGGUGAGGUAACGGCUCACCAAGGCCACGAUGCAUAGCCGACCUGAGAGGGUGAUCUGCCACACUGAGACUGAGACACGGCCCAGACUCCAACGGGAGGCAGCAGUAGGGAAUCUUCGGGAAUGGAGGAAAGGCUGAACGAGCAAAGGCGCGUGAGUGAUGAAGGUUUUCGGAUCGGAAAACUAAGUUGAUAGAGGAGCGAUACCUAACCAGAAAGCGGCGGCUAACUUCUUGACAGCAGCCGCGGUAAUAC
rnacentral:rRNA from 1 species